AGUGAACGCUGGCGGUAGGCCUAACACAUGCAAGUCGAACGGCAGCACAGUAAGAGCUUGCUCUUACGGGUGGCGAGUGGCGGACGGGUGAGGAAUACAUCGGAAUCUACUUUUUCGUGGGGGAUAACGUAGGGAAACUUACGCUAAUACCGCAUACGACCUACGGGUGAAAGCAGGGGAUCUUCGGACCUUGCGCGAUUGAAUGAGCCGAUGUCGGAUUAGCUAGUUGGCGGGGUAAAGGCCCACCAAGGCGACGAUCCGUAGCUGGUCUGAGAGGAUGACCAGCCACACUGGAACUGAGACACGGUCCAGACUCCUACGGGAGGCAGCAGUGGGGAAUAUUGGACAAUGGGCGCAAGCCUGAUCCAGCCAUACCGCGUGGGUGAAGAAGGCCUUCGGGUUGUAAAGCCCUUUUGUUAGGAAAGAAAAGCAGCAGGUUAAUACCCCGCUGUUCUGACGGUACCCAAAGAAUAAGCACCGGCUAACUUCGUG
rnacentral:rRNA from 1 species